AGGAAGGAUGUCUCAGCUCAAGACAGAGUUCAGUUGUAAAGAGCAGCUCUUCAAAAAGCCUGCAGAAGGAACCUGAGGGCCUUCUCAAAUUGUAUAGCUUCAGGCUCUAUAAAACCUGGAUCUACUCCUAUUUGAUGGUUAAGUCAAAGUUCAGAUUAAAAGAUGUAUACUCCACAGUUCUCACAUUGAAGCAAGAUCUGUAACUCAUUUGUGCUGUUGAUUAAUAAAUUGAUGGUGUAGUUGAAUUGGAUCAUUCAAGCCUCUGAGGAAAAGCAAUUGGGAGAACACGGCAGGCUUUGGAAAAUGGAGUUUCUGCUGAAAAUUCCCUGCUAUCAUCUUAGCAAUCUUAUUCUUAUCAAAGCAUUUGGAUAUUAGGGUCUUCCCAGGAACAGCCUGUAAGACUUCAAAUAAAGGAUCAUGCUGACACUGGCCUAAGGUGGAUUUAACUCUUUUUACCUAAAUUUCUGGUCGAUAUCAGUGGGAAGCUCUCACAGAAAAUGCCUGGCUUAAAAUACCGCAGCACCAUGGGAAAAGACUUAUGCCCUGCUGAAAAGGCCAAGCAGGACCCAAGUCUGCCUUGAAGAUGACGGUAGAGGAGUUAACAAAUGCUUGAACAGUUGGAAUGCAAAUACCAAUUAUUAUCCAGAAAUGGGCAUUCAGUUGAUUUUGAAGGAACCUGAACUUUUGCCUUGGAUUAUUCAGUCAUUCAAAACUACAUUUCUCUACUUGUUCACACUGAGCUUCAAGCAAUUCAUCAAUUACAGUUCAGUUGUCCUCUGGCCCUGGUUCCCGUGGAGGUUUCACCUUACGGAUUUCUGCUCUGUCACAUAUGUCAUUGAGCGGGAGCAUGGAGUUAGGAGCUAGUUCUGUCACUAAUUUUUAUGCUUAAG